CCUACGGGUGGCUGCAGUGGGGAAUAUUGGACAAUGGGGGGAACCCUGAUCCAGCCAUGCCGCGUGUGUGAAGAAGGCCCUCGGGUUGUAAAGCACUUUCAGUGAGGAAGAACGCCUGGUGGUUAAUACCCAUCAGGAAAGACAUCACUCACAGAAGAAGCACCGGCUAACUCCGUGCCAGCAGCCGCGGUAAUACGGAGGGUGCGAGCGUUAAUCGGAAUUACUGGGCGUAAAGCGCGCGUAGGUGGCUUGAUAAGCCGGUUGUGAAAGCCCCGGGCUCAACCUGGGAACGGCAUCCGGAACUGUCAAGCUAGAGUGCAGGAGAGGAAGGUGGAAUUCCCGGUGUAGCGGUGAAAUGCGUAGAGAUCGGGAGGAAUACCAGUGGCGAAGGCGGCCUUCUGGACUGACACUGACACUGAGGUGCGAAAGCGUGGGUAGCAAACAGGAUUAGAUACCCGAGUAGUC
rnacentral:rRNA from 1 species